AGAGGUCUAAUGGAAAGAGGGGAAAAUUAGGAUUAUGUGAGAAAGAGGGGAAAAUUAGGGAAGAUAGAGGGAUAACACGAUUAGAGAGAGGGAAAGUGAGUUGAUUAAUGAUUUUUUACUAAGUGUGUACGCGGAAUAGCUAAUUUUGGGUUCCCGCUUAAUGAAAAACUAUGAUAGCAAUUAUAUAGCGCUAUUAAACUAAAUUUUUUUUUAAAGUUCUUACAAUAGCAGUUCGAUAAAACGAGCUAUCGUACUGUGCUAUCAAUGUGGACUUUUUUUGUAGUGUAUUUAAAGGGUUGGGUUUUGGUUUGGGUGGGUUUGCUAAUGGUUUAGGUGGUGGUCUGAGUGCAUUGAUGUAAUCAUUAUCGAUAGAGGGUAACCGCACUCGGUAUGUCAGAGGUGCCUGUCGAUCGAUGGGAGGUGUGUUUUGACGAUCGACGUCGGACUCACUCUGUCGAUCAAUGGGUUGCUCAACCGAUCGAUCGAUUUUUUCAUAGAAAGGGGAGGGU
rnacentral:lncRNA from 1 species